UUAACGGGGCAUUAUAGUUCGCUCUGGCCGCUCUAUCAGCCAAUACAGUCUCUCGCUCAAUAUUUCUCCAUGAUAUUUGCAGUUUUUUGCAAAAAAUUCAAAAUUCCCUCCGAAACUUGUGAACUUUUUACCCCACCGAGUUCAUCAGUUUCGCCACUAUGUGAUUUAUGAGGAUUGGUUUGACAUAAAAUAUA